AUUGAACGCUGGCGGCAGGCCUAACACAUGCAAGUCGAACGAGUGGCGGACGGGUGAGUAAUGUCUGGGAAACUGCCUGCUGGAGGGGGAUAACUACUGGAAACGGUAGCUAAUACCGCAUACCAUCGGAUGUGCCAAGAUGGGAUUAGCUUGUUGGUGGGGUAACGGCUCACCAAGGCGACGAUCCCUAGCGGGUCUGAGAGGAUGACCAGCAAAACGGGAACUGAGACACGGUCCAUACUCCUACGGGAGGCAGCAGUGGGGAAUAUUGCACAAUGGGCGCAAGCCUGAUACAGCCAUGCCGCGUGUGUGAAGAAGGCCUUCGGGUUGUAAAGCACUGUCAGCGGGGAGGCGUUACCCGCAGAAGAAGCACCGGCUAACUCCGUGCCAGCAGCCGCGGUAAUUC
rnacentral:rRNA from 1 species